UACGUAGGGUGCGAGCGUUGUCCGGAAUUAUUGGGCGUAAAGAGCUUGUAGGCGGUUUGUCGCGUCUGCCGUGAAAAUCCGGGGCUCAACCCCGGACUUGCGGUGGGUACGGGCAGACUAGAGUGUGGUAGGGGAGACUGAAUUCCUGGUGUAGCGGUGAAAUGCGCAGAUAUCAGGAGGAACACCGAUGGCGAAGGCAGGUCUCUGGGCCAUAACUGACGCUGAGAAGCGAAAGCAUGGGGAGCGAACAGG
rnacentral:rRNA from 1 species